UGCAGUAAGCCAUGAUCAUGCCACUGCAUUCUACCAUGGGUGACAGACUAAGACCCUGUCUCAAAAAAAAAAAAAAUCAAAAAAAACAGAGAGAGAUGUUCAAAUUAUAGGGAAUGGAUAUGUGUGCUCUAUUACCUCAGAAAACAUUGCAGGAUCUGUACAUUCACCUAUGUGCACCCAUCUACAAUCUGCCCAUUUCACCUUAGGUGCCCUGUCAUCAAAGCACCUUCCAGUCAGGAUACCUGAAGAGAGCAAAUCACCAGAUCCUUAGAAUGAACAAACUUUUAUGCUACCAUAUUAGAAAGCCCUUUGCAAAGAAAAAUACUUACAAGUAAAGAAAUGCAUCUUUUAUUUUUUUCAAAGUCAAUCUGCUUGAUGGUUUGAGAGUUGUCUGAAAUAAUUCAAAAGAGAGGUAAGCUUAGAAGAGUAAAUGAGUUUCACUUCCAAAGAGGAUUGUUUGUAAUCACCCUGCUUACUUACCUGCUUCCAUUCUGAAGCCGUCUGCAGUACUUGGAAAAAGUGUAAUCUUAAAAAAUUCAGUAACAGUCACUGGCUGACUGUACCUAGGGUACCCUCCCUGUUCCGUGGUGCUCACAGUUUUUGGUAAUGCAUGGAGAUAAUUUCAGAUGUUUGCUUCUCUUAACUCCUGAGCACCUUUGCUUCUCACUGUGGAAUUCUAGAGACACAUGGGUAUAGAACUUGAUCUACAAGCCUCCUAGUAAUAGUUGCAGAUUAGGUAGAAAGCCAAGCUAGACUGUACACAAGUCUGUAUAAAUCCCAAAACAGAGCUUUAAAAUAAUAACUUACUGAGUCAUGAUUUCUGCAUCUCAUAUGCAGUAUUCCUUAAAUCACAUGUUGAUGGCUAAUCAACAAAAUCCAAAGACGCAAAUUAGAUGGUACAAUAUUUACAGAGAAAAUAUAUGUGUAGUUUGAAAAGCAAGGAUUCUCAGGGUUACACUCCCACCCCUAUUCCCCCCAGAAAUGAUAGCAGUUGCAAUCUGAACUAUCAACAUUGUAGCCAAGAAAGGAAUGAAUAUAACAAUU